GGCUUGGGGUUUCAGAUAACCUAGUUGGAUUAGCUAGUUGGGAGGUAAGGCUCACCAAGGCGACGAUCCGUAACUGUUUGAGAGGAUGAUCAGUCACCCUGGAACUGAGACCCGGUCCAGAUUCCUACGGGAGGCAGCAGUGGGGAAUAUUGGACAAUGGGCGAAAGCCUGAUCCAGCCAUGCCGCGUGUGUGAAGAAGGUCUUCGGAUUGUAAAGCACUUUAAGUUGGGAGGAAGGGCAGUAAGUUAAUACCUUGCUGUUUUGACGUUACCGACAGAAUAAGCACCGGCUAACUUCGUGCCAGCAGCCGCGGUAAUACGAAGGGUGCAAGCGUUAAUCGGAAUUACUGGGCGUAAAGCGCGCGUAGGUGGUUCAGCAAGUUGGAUGUGAAAGCCCCGGGCUCAACCUGGGAACUGCAUCCAAAACUACUGAGCUAGA
rnacentral:rRNA from 1 species